rnacentral:rRNA from 1 species
UAAUACGGAGGAUCCGAGCGUUAUCCGGAUUUAUUGGGUUUAAAGGGUGCGUAGGCGGCUUCAUAAGUCAGUGGUGAAAUUCGGCAGCUCAACUGUCGGCGUGCCUUUGAUACUGUGGAGCUUGAAUUUGGUCGAAGGAGGCGGAAUGGGACAAGUAGCGGUGAAAUGCAUAGAUAUGUCCCGGAACCCCAAUUGCGAAGGCAGCUUCCUAGGUCAUUAUUGACGCUGAUGCACGAAAGCGUGGGGAUCGAACAGG